UACAGAGGUCUCAAGCGUUGUUCGGAUUCAUUGGGUGUAAAGGGUGCGUAGGUGGCAGGGUAAGUCGGAUGUGAAAUCCCGGGGCUCAACCUCGGAACUGCAUUCGAUACUGCUUUGUUGGAGUACUGGAGAGGAGAUUGGAAUUUACGGUGUAGCAGUGAAAUGCGUAGAUAUCGUAAGGAAGACCAGUGGCGAAGGCGGAUCUCUGGACAGUUACUGACACUGAGGCACGAAGGCCAGGGGAGCAAACGGG
rnacentral:rRNA from 1 species